rnacentral:rRNA from 1 species
AUGGCCAGAUGCAUGUUGAAGAGCAUGGACAUGCCAGCGUACUUCUGGGCGGAGGCGGUGAGAACCGCCGUGUAUGUGCUGAAUCGCGCGCCCACACGCAGUCUGGAAGGUGUCACACCUUAUGAAGCGUGGCACGGCCGUAAGCCUAGCGUGCAACACUUGCGCACGUUCGGGUGCACGGUUCAGGUCAAGAACGUCGGCCCCGGCGUCACGAAGCUAAGCGAUCGCUCAACGGCAAUGGUGUUCAUUGGAUACGAGGAAGGUUCCAAGGCCUAUCGUGUGUACAACCCAACAACGAAGAAGGUGCAGGUGACUCGAGACGUGAUCUUUGAAGAAAGCAGGGCCUGGACAUGGCACGCACCGGGCGCGGCAGAGGACCGCGCCACGCCGACGACCUUCACAGUCGUGUACACCACUGCCGGCGGGGUGCACGAGAUAGACACAGGGUCUCCUACGUGUGCCUCGACGCCGCAGCGGUCCCCAACGCCCAAAACACCUACACCCGCGGCCUCACCUGCUGGGGUGAUCACGCCGGCUUCAAGUACAUCAGGGACGCCAGAGUCCACUCCGGCAACACCUGCAGCAGCGGACGGGAACUGCUCGGCCACCCUGCAGUCACACGACUCCAGACAUGAUGUGCCAACAGGACAGCCAGUGCGCUUCCGGAGCUUCACGAGCGUACUGGAGGAAACUGAAGAUCAGGCAGUGCGUGAGCAGUUUGAACGCUGCCUGCUUGUGCGUUGCAUGUUUAGCGCGGAGGAGCCAAGCGAUGUGGAUGAAGCGCUGGCUAGCAAGGCAUGGAAAGGGGCCAUGGAUGUCGAGAUGCAGUCCAUUGUCGAAAAUGGCACAUGGAAGCUUGCUCAACUCCCGGCUGAGCACAAAGCAAUAGGACUGAAGUGGGUGUAUCGUGUCAAACGUGAUCCGACAGGCAAUGUAGUCAAGCACAAGGCUCGCCUCGUCGCAAAGGGAUAUGUCCAGCGUCAGGGGGUGGAUUUUGAGGAGGUUUUCGCCCUCGUAGCUCGCAUGGAGACAGUUCGGCUGCUGCUGGCUCUCGCCGCGCACUCUGGCUGGGAAGUUCAUCACAUGGACGUGAAAUCAGCCUUCCUGAACGGCGAUCUCACUGAGGAGGUAUAUGUUGAUCAGCCACCGGGGUAUGAAGUUGCAGGCCAGGAAGGAAAGGUACUCCAACUGCACAAGGCUCUGUAUGGGCUGCAUCAGGCACCGCGGGCGUGGUAUGCAAAGUUGGAUGAAACUCUCACCUCCCUUGGUUUCACGCGAAGCGCUCUGGAGCAUGCUGUGUACCGACGAGGUAACUCACAAUCACACUUGUUGGUUGGAGUGUAUGUAGAUGAUCUGAUCAUCACAGGAACCACAGCAGCAGAUAUCAUCUCUUUCAAAGAACAGAUGCAAAAACUCUUCAAAAUGAGUGAUCUCGGGCGGCUAAGUUACUAUCUGGGAAUUGAGGUAGAUCAAAGCAGCAAUGGAAUUACUCUGAGUCAGAAGAGCUAUGCGGGUGAGAUUCUGGAGAUUGCAGAGAUGAGCAACUGCAACAGUUGCCACACACCAAUGGAGUGUCGUCUAAAACUGAAAAAAGACGAUGACUGUGAUCUGUUUGAUGCUACCUUGUACCGCAGAGUGAUUGGGAGCCUGCGCUAUCUUGUGAACACAAGACCAGACAUCGCACAUUCAGUGGGUAUCGUCAGUAGAUUCAUGGAGAAUCCAAGCACUAAUCACUGGGCAGCGGUCAAACAGAUACUGAGGUAUAUCAAAGGCACAAUGCACUAUGGGUGCAGCUACAAGAGAGGACACGGAACUGCUGAACUGAUUGGGUUCAGCGAUAGCGAUCAUGCUGGGGAUGUUGGUGAUCGCAAAAGCACUUCUGGACAUGUUUUCUUCCUUGGUAAGAAUCUGAUUACUUGGAGCUCCCAGAAGCAGAAGAUCGUCGCUCUCUCUUCCUGUGAAGCAGAAUAUGUUGCAAUAGCAGCUGCCACUUGUCAGGGACUGUGGCUGAGCCGGCUGCUGGAGGACAUCACAGGUACCUCGCCGGCGCAGUUCAAAUUACUGGUGGACAACAAAUCAGCCAUAGCUCUGAGCAAGAACCCAGUUCAUCAUGAUCGAAGUAAACACAUUGAUGUCAAGUUUCACUUUGUGAGAGAUUGCAUGGAGAAGAAACAGGUGGAGAUAGAUCAUGUUGGAACUCAGGACCAGCUCGCCGAUGCACUCACCAAAGCGCUCGGGCGCGUUCGUUUCAUCGAAUUGCGACAUAGGCUUGGGAUGAUCGGCGUAGUGCAGUGA